UACGUAGGGGGCUAGCGUUGUCCGGAAUCAUUGGGCGUAAAGCGCGUGUAGGCGGUCCGGUAAGUCCGCUGUGAAAGUCGGGGGCUCAACCCUCGGAUGCCGGUGGAUACUGUCGGGCUGGAGUACGGAAGAGGCGAGUGGAAUUCCUGGUGUAGCGGUGAAAUGCGCAGAUAUCAGGAGGAACACCAAUUGCGAAGGCAGCUCGCUGGGACGGUACUGACGCUGAGACGCGAAAGCGUGGGGAGCGAACAGG
rnacentral:rRNA from 1 species